AUACAGUUUUCUUUUAUUUGGAGGCUGGCACAGCUGUUCACUUGGAGAAGUGUCCCUCUCCACUCCAAUGAGCUGGUCUUGGAGCUACUUUACAAUAACAGCCUCUCCAGGUGGGGAACCCCCUGAUUGGGCUGGAGGUGGAGGAAACUGGCUUUUUAAGUGCCCACCCACAGCUCGGGAAGGGGCUGCACAGGAACACUUCACACCAAGCUGCUCAAAGUUCACCUGAGUGACAGAUUCUUUAGCAACAAUGUUCCUGAGAGGCUGGUGCCCUCUGAGAUAGAGUCUGCAAGACACCAGCUCCUGGUGAAUGCCGAGGCGGUGGCCCCGUUCCUGAUGCCCACAUGGUGCCCUGUGCCUGUUCUUCCUUCAGCAGGGACUAGGCACCUAGUGGGUUACCAGUGUAAACAGUACACCUGCCCUCACGCAAGCAACAGGAUGCUGCGAGAACGCCACCUGCAGUGGAACAGAGCUUGGGAGCUGGGAUGGGGAAGAGGUUCUAGGAGGCAGAGACUGGAGACCGGCAGGGCCGGUGACAUCUGUGUGGUCCUCAGAGCCAGAUCCCAUCACAGCUCAAUCACUCCCACCUCAAUCACUCCUUUCCUCACUCAUUCACCGUGGCUGAAAUGCCCUCUAUCUUCCAGUCGCUGCUUGCCUCUUGCUUUGCCAAGAAUACCACCCACACGAUUCUAUGGAAGGCUCAGAAGAUGAGAAAAGAAUAUUGUAAAAGCACCUGUUGAU
ensembl:lncRNA